rnacentral:tRNA from 1 species
UUAAUUAAAACCAAAUUUGAGGUAUAUCAUUGUUAAUGAUAGCAUUGAUUUAAAAGUCUAAUUAAA